rnacentral:tRNA from 1 species
GAGGGUAUAGCUCAGUGGAAAAGCGCCUGCUUAGCAUGCACAAGGUCCUGCGUUCAAUCCCCAGUACCUCCA